UGUGUCGUCGCCGCCAUCUUCCACGGGUCCGUCUUCAGAGCAGAUAUUGAGGCUUCUACCUUGUCAGGCCACUCUGCCAUCGACGCCACCAUGACGCCAGACAACUGCCUCCACCUGCGCGAGUCCAUCACCGCGCAUCGGGCGCCGAGUCUCCACUGCACCACGCCGCUGAGAUCCGCCGUCAUCAAUGUGUAGGAUGAAGCACCGCUCCACCAAAAAAGGCGCCCACUGGUCCCUUGAUCCUCGGCUGCUGUCACCGACCCCAUACUGAGCCCGCCACCACACUGCCCUCAAGGCGACGCCUUCAAGAAGGUCACGACGUCAAGGAUGCCGCCGCCGCCGCCCAUCGGAGUUAGGUUUUCACCCGAGAAGCAAGGUGGUGGGGUGUGGAAGGGCAGACCUCGACCGGCGUCUCCAUGAAGAAAUCGGCGCCCGCAGACGUCGUCAUCGCCGUGGCCAGCUGGAGCCGACCAGGGGUUUCCCCUAAUCUGGAUCCCGACCACCAGAAUCACCCGCAACCCAGAGGCAGGCCAGACGCCUGCACAGCCAGGGACCGUCGAGGGUGAAACGCAUCGAGCAGGGGAAGAUGGCCAGCAGCCAGAUCUGACGCCGCCAGCCACCAGGGCAGCCAUGCGAGGUCCCAGCCCACCGAAGAUCCGCCGGCCACCCGACCAGAUCGCCGGCACCGCGCCUACCCCACUGCUCACCGCAGGUGACAAGGGGCCUCGCCGGGGGCCGCCGCCCAGAUCCAAGACCCUCCGAUGUGAACCAGAGCAGCGCAUGCCCCGCCGCCGUAGUCCCUGGCUGCGCCAUGGGCCUUGCCCGGCGGUAGCCUCGUGCGGCGGCGAGGGGAAGAGGGGAGGGAGAGGGGCUACUCCGGCGCGGGGGGAGUUGCCCCCGAGACGCCCACUAGGGGCGGCGCGGGGGAGGGGAGGCUGAGGCGCGGGGGAGGGCAUAUUUCCGGUAUGAUGACCAAACAUUAUACAUAGUUUAUAUAUUUUAUUUGUAUUCAUUUGUGAAGUUUACUCAGAACAUCACUCAAGCAAUAUUUUGUCAGCUACUAGUCUAACCAGGUGCUAUAGCUACCGAGCACUGCAUCAAGUGAAACUAGUCCUGCGUAUCAUUUCCCGCACACACACAAACACACACAUAUAAAAGGAAGUCUGUUAUAUAUGGAAAGGAAAAUAAAUGCAUAUGGAAAAUGACUUUUUAGAAAAGUCAUGCCACUCGAAACUAAGUUCAGUUGUACCAAAAGUGUAAUCAGUGAACAGGUAUAGAAUUUCCUCUGUUCUACCUAAAAUUUUGUUACCAAUUUAUCAAUGUUGGGGAUAUCGCUUAUCGAGAACUUAUCGGUCGACCCAUGAUACGGGGUAAAUCGGCCAGUUUAUCGGCAUAUCGGCUGGUUUAUCAUCAUAUUGGUUGAUUUAUCGGCCGAUAUAUCUUAUCGGUCAGACACUGGUAAGCGAUAAAUCGGCCGAUUUAUCGGAAUAUCGAAAGAUAUCUUGAACAGUGCAAUUUAUACAGAUGAAUCUCUGGACCUUGAGUGGAAUAUGAGAUACGAGAUAAUCAAGGCAAUUUGCAGUGGUUUGUGUUUCCUUCAGGAAGAAUACCGUAUCCUUCAUCUGGACCUUAAGCCAGAAAAUAUAUUGAUGGACUUUAUGAUGAUGCCGAAAAUCGUGGAUUUUGGUUUGUCGAGUCUCUUUGGUGUGCAGCAAAUGCGAAUCUUCACUGAUAAUCCUGCAGGAAACAUGAAUAUAUGGCACCAGAAUACUUACUUCAAGGUGUAAUCUCAAGCAAGGCAGAUAUCUUCAGUCUGGGUGUUAUAAUCACAGAGAUUAUCACAGGUGUUAUUUUGCUAGAAAGUUUUAAAGGACGGCUAACAGAAACUCAGUUAAUCCGACGACCGUUCUUGACAGACUUCCGUGACAGCCAACUUGCAGUUCGGACUGGGAUGCAGAGAAGAGCCAACCAAACAACAUUUGAGGGUUACAACGUUAGCAGGCAAUUGUAAAGGAUGUCACCAAAAUCUCUUGUGUUUUGAUGCUCACCUACCCCGGAUAUUAUUGGCAGGAUCUGUCAUACAUCACAUCACAUGCUGUGGAAUCUCAUCUACCAUGGCUAGAUACUGUGGCUGGACCGGUCUCUCUAACCUACCGUCAUUAGUGUGCGGACCCCAGGCUGAGUGUCAAUGUCAAGUGUACUCCGUUUGGUCUAGAUCUAAAUUGGUAGCCUUUAAAGGCAGAUCGACAGUCUGAUAGUCUUCCUGCGCCUUGAUAUUCUACUUGAACAGUACAUGUUUUCUGAGCAGCUAUGAGUCGUCGAGAAAUGGCUAUCUUACGUGAUGAACUGUAGAACAAGCUACAAGAUCCAAAAGCAACACCGAUGUUUCUUCCUCUAGAAUUUGAAAGGCAUCACAUGUGAUUUUUCCACUGAAUCGGACCUUGGCAGAGGUGGAUAUGGAGUGGUUUACAAGAUGAAUCUCUGGACCUUGAGUGGAAUAUGAGAUACGAGAUAAUCAAGGCAAUUUGCAGUGGUUUGUGUUUCCUUCAGGAAGAAUACCGUAUCCUUCAUCUGGACCUUAAGCCAGAAAAUAUAUUGAUGGACUUUAUGAUGAUGCCGAAAAUCGCGGAUUUUGGUUUGUCGAGUCUCUUUGGUGUGCAGCAAAUGCGAAUCUUCACUGAUAAUCCUGCAGGAAACAUGAAUAUAUGGCACCAGAAUACUUACUUCAAGGUGUAAUCUCAAGCAAGGCAGAUAUCUUCAGUCUGGGUGUUAUAAUCACAGAGAUUAUCACAGGUGCCUUCGACUUGCCGAACUGGGCCACGAUGUUGCCAUCUUGCAUGUUGCAUUCUAGCCCAUUUCCUUGAGGCGCUUCUUCCUCCUAAGCUGGCAGACACCCCUCGCGACGGCUGCGAUGUGGUGGCAAUGGGACGCUGCCGUACACGUCCCUCCUCCACCACCCAGUGCGGAGCUGCUUCCACCACCGUGACGCGGUACUGCGAGCUUCUUCGGCGGCACUGACUAGAGGUAGUUUUCAUUUCCCUUUUUCACCCACCGUUGCAAGCCUCUUCUUCAAGUGAUCCCAUUUCCACAUGUUUACUAGUUGUCAAUGCUAAUGGUUCAACUUUCUAUUUCACCGGUGAAGUUUGAAUUGGGUAAGGUGGUCGAGAUGGGUAUUUUUACCCACGGGAAUUACCUGCACCCUGCCAGGUACGCGUAUGAGAACAGUUUGAAACCCAAGGUGCGGGUGUGGGUACGGGUAUGCGUAUGAGAACAGUUUGAAAGCCAAGGUGCGGGUACGGAUUUGGGUAAAAAUAUCGAGACGGGCAUGGGUUUGGGCCACCAUUACCCGCACCCGAACCCGGCGUUUGCCAUGUGGACAAGUGGUCAAUGGAAUCAUUGUGUCGGUCCAUUGAACAUUCAUUGCAGAAAUGAAGAUGAUUGAGAAGCCGAAAGGGUAGUUGGAUGAACAAUAGAUGCUCUGCAUACAGACCCCGGGCCAGGCAAGACUAUUUCAUGGACCAUGGGGUUACAACGUUAGCAGGCAAUUGUAAAGGAUGUCACCAAAAUCUCUUGUGUUUUGAUGCUCACCUACCCCGGAUAUUAUUGGCAGGAUCUGUCAUACAUCACAUCACAUGCUGUGGAAUCUCAUCUACCAUGGCUAGAUACUGUGGCUGGACCGGUCUCUCUAACCUACCGUCAUUAGUGUGCGGACCCCAGGCUGAGUGUCAAUGUCAAGUGUACUCCGUUUGGUCUAGAUCUAAAUUGGUAGCCUUUAAAGGCAGAUCGACAGUCUGAUAGUCUUCCUGCGCCUUGAUAUUCUACUUGAACAGUACAUGUUUUCUGAGCAGCUAUGAGUCGUCGAGAAAUGGCUAUCUUACGUGAUGAACUGUAGAACAAGCUACAAGAUCCAAAAGCAACACCGAUGUUUCUUCCUCUAGAAUUUGAAAGGCAUCACAUGUGAUUUUUCCACUGAAUCGGACCUUGGCAGAGGUGGAUAUGGAGUGGUUUACAAGGUAUGACCAUUUUGUUUACUCCACUUUUCAAAUAUUAUUAACGGCAAUGAAUCAAAGACACUUGUAUAUACUAUGAAGAGAGGUUUAACUGAUAAACACAGGGAGUUCUUAAGGGUGGGAAAAUCAUUGUCAUGAAGAAGCUUUUUGAAAUACAUCUGCUGGACGAUAAAACGUUCGAGGAUGAAGUCAGACAUCUUAUAGCGAUCAGGCACCAAAAUCUAGUACAACUUAUUGGUUACUGUGCUGAAUCAAGUUGGGAAUUGGUAGAGCAGAGUGGAAAGCAUGUUUUUGCUGAAAUACUGAAAAGGUUGCUCUGCUUUGAGUAUGUAUGCAACAAAAGCCUUGACAAGUAUAUUUCCGAUAUGAUUUUUCUAGAAAAGGAGGAUGACCCCCGGCCUCUGCAUCUAGGAGAUGCAUACGGCCACUUUAUUGAUUA